ACGCUGGCGGCGUGCCUAAUACAUGCAAGUAGAACGCUGAAGGAGGAGCUUGCUUCUCUGGAUGAGUUGCGAACGGGUGAGUAACGCGUAGGUAACCUGCCUGGUAGCGGGGGAUAACUAUUGGAAACGAUAGCUAAUACCGCAUAACAGUAAAUGUUGCAUGACAUUUGCUUAAAAGGUGCAAUUGCAUCACUACCAAAUGGACCUGCGUUGUAUUAGCUAGCUGGUGGGGUAACGGCUCACCAAGGCGACAAUACAUACCCGACCUGAGAGGGUGAUCGGCCACACUGGGACUGAAACACGGCCCAAACUCCUACGGGAGGCAGCAGUAGGGAAUCUUCGGCAAUGGACGGAAGUCUGACCGAGCAACGCCGCGUGAGUGAAAAAGGUUUUCGGAUCGUAAAGCUCUGUUGUAAGAAAAAAACGGGUGUGAGAGUGGAAAGUUCACACUGUGACGGUAUCUUACCAAAAAGGGACGGCUAACUACGUGCCACCACCCGCGGUAAUACGUAGGUCCCGAGCGUUGUCCGGAUUUAUUGGGCGUAAAGCGAGCGCAGGCGGUUAGAUAAGUCUGAAGUUAAAGGCUGUGGCUUAACCAUAGUACGCUUUGGAAACUGUUUAACUUGAGUGCAAGAGGGGAGAGUGGAAUUCCAUGUGUAGCGGUGAAAUGCGUAGAUAUAUGGAGGAACACCGGUGGCGAAAGCGGCUCUCUGGCUUGUAACUGACGCUGAGGCUCGAAAGCGUGGGGAGCAAACAGGAUUAGAUACCCUGGUAGUCCACGCCGUAAACGAUGAGUGCUAGGUGUUAGACCCUUUCCGGGGUUUAGUGCCGCAGCUAACGCAUUAAGCACUCCGCCUGGGGAGUACGACCGCAAGGUUGAAACUCAAAGGAAUUGACGGGGGCCCGCACA
rnacentral:rRNA from 1 species